GAUGAACGCUGGCGGCGUGCCUAAUACAUGCAAGUCGAGCGAACGGACGAGAAGCUUGCUUUUCUGAUGUUAGCGGCGGACGGGUGAGUAACACGUGGAUAACCUACCUAUAAGACUGGGAUAACUUCGGGAAACCGGAGCUAAUACCGGAUAAUAUAUUGAACCGCAUGGUUCAAAAGUGAAAGACGGUCUUGCUGUCACUUAUAGAUGGAUCCGCGCUGCAUUAGCUAGUUGGUAAGGUAACGGCUUACCAAGGCAACGAUGCAUAGCCGACCUGAGAGGGUGGUCGCCUAGACGGGAGCUGAGACAGAGUCACGACUCGGGGGGGGAGCCACAGCAGGGAAUCGUACGGAAUGGGGGAGAGGAGGACAGAGCAGAGCGGGGUAAGUGAUGAUGGAGUAAGGAUGGGAAAAUGAUGAAGGUAGGGAAGAAGAAAAGUGCAAGUAACUGGGCAGGUCAUGACGGUACCGGAUGAGAAAGCUACGGCUAACUACGUG
rnacentral:rRNA from 1 species